rnacentral:rRNA from 1 species
UACGUAGGGUGCAAGCGUUGUCCGGAAUUAUUGGGCGUAAAGAGCUCGUAGGCGGUCUGUCGCGUCGGUCGUGAAAACUUGGGGCUUAACCCUGAGCUUGCGGUCGAUACGGGCAUGACUGGAGUUCGGCAGGGGAGACUGGAAUUCCUGGUGUAGCGGUGAAAUGCGCAGAUAUCAGGAGGAACACCGGUGGCGAAGGCGGGUCUCUGGGCCGAUACUGACGCUGAGGAGCGAAAGCGUGGGGAGCGAACAGGAUUAGAACCGUACG